rnacentral:rRNA from 1 species
CUAUAAUGGCAGUCGAGCGGAGCCCGAGGGGAGCUUGCUCUUUAUCAGGCUCACCGCCGGACGGUUGAGUAACACUUGGGAAACCGGCCCGUAAGACCGGAUUAACUCGGGAAAACCGGGGCUAAUACCGAAUAACACCGGGGGCCGCAUGGUUUCCGGUUGAAAGGCGGCCUUUGGCUGCCACUUACGGAUGGGCCCGCGGCGCAUUACCUAGUGGGCGGGGUAACGGCCCACCAAGGCAACAAUGCGUACCCGGCCUGAAAGGGUGGACGGCCACACUGGAACUGAAACACGGCCCAAACUCCUACGGAAGGCACCAGUAGGGAAUCUUCCGCAUGGGGCAAAAGCCUGACGAACCGACCCCCCGUGAGCAAGGAAGGCCUUCGGGUCGAAAAGUUCUGUUGUCAGGAAAAAAGGCGCGCCGUUCAAACAGGGCGGCGCGUGGACGGUACCGGACAAGAAACCCCCGGUUAAUUACUGGCCACCACCCGCGGUAAAACGUAGGGGGCAAGCGUUGUCCGGAAUUACGGGCCGUAAAGCGCGCGCAGGCGGUCCUUUAAUUCUAAUGUGAAAUUCGGCGGCUCAACGGCGGUGGUGCAUUGAAAACUGGGGAACUGGAUGGCGAAAAAGGGAAGCGAAAUUCCCGUGGUAGCGUUGAAUUGCGUAAAGAUCGGAAGGAACACCAGGGGCAAAGGCGGUUCUCUGGUCCGCACUUGACGCUGAGGCGCGAAAGCGUGAGAAGCGAACAGGGAUUAGAUACCCGGGUAGUCCACGCCGUAAACGAUGAAGUGCUAGUUGUUAAAGGGGAAUUGGACCCUUUAUGGCUGCAGCUACCGCAUUAAGCACUUCGGCCGGGGGAAGAACGGCCGCAAGGCUGAAAACUCAAAGGGAAUUGACGGGGGGCCCGCACAGCCGGUGGAAGCANNGUGCUUAAUU